rnacentral:rRNA from 1 species
GACGAACGCUGGCGGCGUGCCUAAUACAUGCAAGUUGAGCGAUGAAGAUUGGUGCUUGCACCAAUUUGAAGAGCAGCGAACGGGUGAGUAACGCGUGGGGAAUCUGCCUUUGAGCGGGGGACAACAUUUGGAAACGAAUGCUAAUACCGCAUAACAACUUUAAACAUAAGUUUUAAGUUUGAAAGAUGCAAUUGCAUCACUCAAAGAUGAUCCCGCGUUGUAUUAGCUAGUUGGUGAGGUAAAGGCUCACCAAGGCGAUGAUACAUAGCCGACCUGAGAGGGUGAUCGGCCACAUUGGGACUGAGACACGGCCCAAACUCCUACGGGAGGUAGCAGUAGGGAAUCUUCGGCAAUGGACGAAAGUCUGACCGAGCAACGCCGCGUGAGUGAAGAAGGUUUUCGGAUCGUAAAACUCUGUUGGUAGAGAAGAACGUUGGUGAGAGUGGAAAGCUCAUCAAGUGACGGUAACUACCCAGAAAGGGACGGCUAACUACGUG